AAGGGUGCGUAACGCGUGAGCAACUUUGUCCCGUUUCGAGGGGAUAACCGGUGGAAACGCCGACUAAUACCCCAUAGCAUUUGGGUUUUGAGGCAUCUCUUACCAAUUAAAGAAUUUUCGGAAACGGAUAGGCUCGCGUGACAUUAGGUAGAUGGCGGGGUAACGGCCCACCAUGCCUACGAUGUCUAGGGGUUCUGAGAGGAAGGUCCCCCACACUGGAACUGAGACACGGUCCAGACUCCUACGGGAGGCAGCAGUGAGGAAUAUUGGUCAAUGGUCGGAAGACUGAACCAGCCAAGUAGCGUGAAGGAUGAAGGUUCUAUGGAUUGUAAACUUCUUUUAUACGGGAAUAAAACCUCCCACGUGUGGGAGCUUGUAUGUACCGUAUGAAUAAGCAUCGGCUAACUCCGUG
rnacentral:rRNA from 1 species